CCAAUCCGCCGGCGUGCGACAAGCAGAGCUGAUGACAGGGAUGUCACUUGGGUGAAUGGCAGAAGAAGCUACUGAGAGAGCACCUUAGAAAUGCUGCCAGCAGGCAAAGCCACCCAUGCUUCGAGGCUGGUGUGCUGCGGUGUUGCUCUCCUGUGAAGCUCAUCAACAGCAAUCAGCGCUGGCAACAGGCAAGGGGGAUGCGCUGGGCCAAUUGCACCUGCCCGGGGAACAGCUAAGGUGAAAACAUGAAGUCAGUAUCCAAAUCGGCUCCUGCAAGCAAGGAGGGAGCAGAUUUGGUUUCAGCAACCAUCUGAUGAAGCUUCACGUGCAAGCUGCCUUUGCCCAGCCUGAGGAAGGGUCUCACAGCCAUCAAGCCCUGGUGGGGCCGUGCCAGAGAGCCCUGCCUCUAUAAAUGGCCUUGGGGGAUUCCACAGGCAACGGGGGGAAGCUCUGGCAAGGACAAUGAAACGUCAGGGAUGGAUGCUGACUAAUUUGCCCCAGACCAGUUCAACGGCAGUCUCAGGCAAAUGACCUGGAUCCUGACUCUGUGGCCUGCUCAGAAGUUUGAGCAAGACUCUGGAUUGUGAACGGAGGCAGCUGCUCCAUUUCUCCCACCCCAGCUCACAAAUGGGCCCAUGAACGCAGCCUUGCAAGAAGAUGUUGUGCUGUGGGUGCUCGUGGAUGGGGUGAGGGACAUUCCCAGCUCUGCUGCAGGCCAUCUGACCUGCUGCCCUGGGUACCGCGUCAGCUGGCUUCAUCACCCGGCUAAUUGCAGAGUUGCAUCUUCUCCUCCUACAUUUCCUAUUACGCACAGGAGAUGCAUUGCAGAGAGGGUGCUGGGGCAGCAGCCCCCAGAUGAGGAACAGGAGAGAAGCAGGAGGUCAGCAGCACACGUGCUGCUGCCAGAAGCUUCUGGCUCAGUCCUGGCGGGGCUGAGUGAUUCAUUCGCCCAAAGUAAACUGGGGGAUGACU